rnacentral:rRNA from 1 species
CCCCUAGAUGUUCUGGGCCGCACGCGCGCUACACUGAACAGUUCAACAAGUCUUAACCUUGGCCGAUAGGUCUGGGUAAUCUUUGAACGCUGUUCGUGAUUGGGAUAGACCUUUGCAAUUAUGGGUCUUCAACGAGGAAUUCCUAGUAAACGCAAGUCAUCAGCUUGCAUUGGUUACGUCCCUGCCCUUUGUACACACCGCCCGUCGCACCUACCGAUUGAAUGGUCCGGUGAAAUCUCGGGACGGCGGCUUGGUCGCUUGCGUCCGACUGCUGAAACUUGAUUAAACCAUAUCAUUUAGAGGAAGGUGAANUCGUANCA